rnacentral:rRNA from 1 species
CCCCAGACUCCUACGGGAGGCAGCAGUGGGGGAUAUUGCACAAUGGGGGGAACCCUGAUGCAGCGACGCCGCGUGGGUGAAGGAGUGCUUCGGCAUGUAAAGCCCUAUCGGCAGGGAAGAAGCAAGACGGUACCUGACUAAGAAGCCCCGGCUAACUACGUGCCAGCAGCCGCGGUAAUACGUAGGGGGCGAGCGUUAUCCGGAUUCACUGGGUGGAAAGGGAGCGUAGACGGCCAUGCAAGCCAGGGGUGAAAGCCCGGGGCCCAACCCCGGGACUGCUCUGGAAACUGCGUCGCUGGAGUACGGGAGGGGCAGGCGGAAUUCCUGGUGUAGCGGUGAAAUGCGUAGAUAUCAGGAGGAACACCGGUGGCGAAGGCGGCCUGCUGGACUGCAACUGACGUUGAGGCCCGAAAGCGUGGGGAGCAAACAGGAUUAGAUACCCCAGUA